rnacentral:rRNA from 1 species
GAUGAACGCUAGCUACAGGCCUAACACAUGCAAGUCGAGGGACCGGCGCAGGGGUGAAUAACACGUGACCAACCUGCACUUUAGGGGGUGAUAGCCUUUCGAAAGAAAGAUUAAUGCCUAAUAUAAAGGGUGGGGAUGGGUUCCAUUAGGAUGGUGGUGAGGUAACGGCCAACCAAGCCUUCGAUGGAUGGGGGUUCUGAGAGGAAGGUCCCCCAGAUUGGAACUGAGACACGGACCAAACUCCGACGGGAGGCAGCAGUGAGGAAUAGUGGUCAAUGGGCGGUAGCCUGAACCAGCCAAGUAGCGUGAAGGAUGAAGGCUUAUGGGUCGUAAACUUCUUUUAUAGAAGAAUAUGUAUUAGAUGAAUAAGGACCGGCUAACUCCGUGCCAGCAGCCGCGGUAAUAC